UUUUGAAAAGAUGAGAUUGUGUUGUAUAUAAUUGAAAUCUGGCCUUUACGUUGUACAGGAGUUUGUAAGAUGUUGUCCAACUCUGAAUUUACUAGUAAGGCUGGGAAGGUUGAGCUCCAUGUUUGGAUAAAGUUACGGAUUUGGAAAUAUCUAAAUAAAUCU